AUGAACGCUGGCGGCGUGCCUAAUACAUGCAAGUCGAGCGAACAGACGAGGAGCUUGCUCCUCUGACGUUAGCGGCGAAGGGGGGGGUAACCCGGGGAAAACUUACCUUUAAGACUGGGAUAACUUCGGAAAACCGGACCUAAUACCGGAAAAUAUAUUAAACCCCAGGGUUCAUUAGUGAAAGACGGUUUUGCUGUCACUUAUAGAUGAUUCCGCGCCGCAUUAGCUAGUUGGUAAGGUAACGGCUUACCAAGGCAACGAUGCGUAGCCGACCUGAGAGGGUGAUCGGCCACACUGGAACUGAGACACGGUCCAGACUCCUACGGGAGGCAGCAGUAGGGAAUCUUCCGCAAAGGGCGAAAGCCUGACGGAGCAACGCCGCGUGAGUGAUGAAGGUCUUCGGAUCGUAAAACUCUGUUAUUAGGGAAGAACAAAUGUGUAAGUAACUAUGCACGUCUUGACGGUACCUAAUCAGAAAGCCACGGCUAACUACGUG
rnacentral:rRNA from 1 species